GAUGAACGCUGGCGGCGUGCUUAACACAUGCAAGUCGAACGGUGACCUCGAGAGCUUGCUCUUGGGUGAUCAGUGGCGAACGGGUGAGUAACACGUGAGUAACCUGCCCCAGACUCUGGAAUAACCCCGGGAAACCGGAGCUAAUACCGGAUACGAGACGGAGUCGCAUGGCUACCGUCUGGAAAGUUUUUCGGUCUGGGAUGGACUCGCGGCCUAUCAGCUUGUUGGUGAGGUAACGGCUCACCAAGGCGACGACGGGUAGCCGGCCUGAGAGGGCGACCGGCCACACUGGGACUGAGACACUGCCCAGACUCCUACGGGAGGCAGCAGUGGGGAAUAUUGCACAAUGGGCGAAAGCCUGAUGCAGCGACGCCGCGUGAGGGAUGACGGCCUUCGGGUUGUAAACCUCUUUCAGCAGGGAAGAAGCGAAAGUGACGGUACCUGCAGAAGAAGCACCGGCUAACUACGUGCCAGCAGCCGCGGUAAAAC
rnacentral:rRNA from 1 species